ACUGUGGUAAUCCUAGAGCUAAUACAUGCCAACGAACGCUGACCUUCGGGGAUGCGUGCAUUUAUCAGACCCAAAACCCAUGAGGGGUGCUCUCCGGGGCGCCCCGGCCGCUUUGGUGACUCUAGAUAACCUCGAGCCGAUCGCUGGCCCUCGUGGCGGCGACGUCUCAUUCGAAUGUCUGCCCUAUCAACUUUCGAUGGUACUUUCUGUGCCUACCAUGGUGACCACGGGUAACGGGGAAUCAGGGAUCGAUUCCGGAGAGGGAGCCUGAGAAACGGCUACCACAUCCAAGGAAGGCAGCAGGCGCGCAAAUUACCCACUCCCGACUCGGGGAGGUAGUGACGAAAAAUAACAAUACAGGACUCUUUCGAGGCCCUGUAAUCGGAAUGAGCGCA
rnacentral:rRNA from 1 species